rnacentral:rRNA from 1 species
UACAGAGGUGGCAAGCGUUGUUCGGAAUUACUGGGCGUAAAGGGCGCGUAGGCGGCCUUCUAAGUCAGACGUGAAAUCCCCAGGCUUAACUUGGGAACUGCGUCUGAUACUGGGAGGCUUGAAUGCGGGAGAGGGAUGUGGAAUUCCAGGUGUAGCGGUGAAAUGCGUAGAUAUCUGGAGGAAUACCGGUGGCGAAGGCGGCAUCCUGGACCAUAACUGACGCUGAGGCACGAAAGCGUGGGGAGCAAACAGG